GUGGAUUAGAUACCCUGGUAGUCCACGCUGUAAACGAUGGAUGCUAGACGUUGGGGGGCUUGCCCCUCGGUGUCGCAGCUAACGCGAUAAGCAUCCCGCCUGGGGAGUACGGCCGCAAGGUUAAAACUCAAAGGAAUUGACGGGGGCCCGCACAAGCGGUGGAGCAUGUGGUUUAAUUCGACGCAACGCGCAGAACCUUACCAGCCCUUGACAUGGGGAGUAUGGGCCCGGGAGACCGGGUUCUUCAGUUCGGCUGGCUCCCACACAGGUGCUGCACGGUCGUCGUCAACU
rnacentral:rRNA from 1 species